rnacentral:rRNA from 1 species
CCUACGGGAGGCAGCAGUCGGGAAUCUUGCGCAAUGGGCGAAAGCCUGACGCAGCAACACCGUGUGUGUGACGAAGGCCUUCGGGUCGUAAAGCACUGUUGUUGGGGACGAAGGGCGAAGGGUUAAUAGCCCCGAGCUUGACGGUACCCUUCGAGGAAGCCCCGGCUAACUACGUGCCAGCAGCCGCGGUAAUACGUAGGGGGCGAGCGUUGUCCGGAAUUAUUGGGCGUAAAGAGCGUGUAGGCGGUUCGGUAAGUCUGCUGUGAAAUCCUGGGGCUCAACCCUGGGCGUGCAGCGGAUACUGCCGGGCUAGAGGGUGGUAGAGGCGAGUGGAAUUCCGAGUGUAGCGGUGAAAUGCGCAGAUAUUCGGAGGAACACCAGUAGCGAAGGCGGCUCGCUGGGCCACACCUGACGCUGAGACGCGAAAGCGUGGGGAGCGA